rnacentral:lncRNA from 1 species
AACUGGAUCAAGGACAUGUCUUUAAACAGUGGAUUGGAUCUGUAGAGGUAAUUACAAUUAUUUUUUUGACUUGGUAGCUUGACUAAAUUGAAGAAUUGCAUUCAGUUUGGGUUUUGUAUGUUCUUAAAUAGCUACUGAAAUCUUGUUAAGUCAAAAAAUAAAAGUCUUCAUCCUCUUAUUUGGACAUUUUCUCUUUAAAAAGCUUUUCCAUCAAAGUACCUUUACUAACAUGUGCUUGGUGUAGUUCAUUUAUUGUUUAAGUGCCAGUCAUCUUAUUUCUAAAAACUGAUCAUCAGUGUGAAAAAAGUUUGAAGAUUAUUUCAGUUUGCAUAUGCCAAUAAUUAUUCCAAACCUUGUUUAUAAGCAUUUGUAUCUCUGGUGGACAAAUACUUGGUUUUACACUGAAAGUUGAGCUGCGAAUAAAUUAUGUAUUUUAACAUUAAU